AAUGAAUGGUGGAAGACACGAAUUAUGUAUAAAACUGUUUGCAUUAUGUAUUUUUAUUCUGUUUUCUAUGUGGCAAAAACACGUGGGGUUUUGGGCGCUUGGAGAUAAUUGUAUUGUCAUAACCGUUGGAUUCAUUAUCUCCAAGCUUGGCAGUGACGAUUUCAAAAGAUGCAUUGCAUUUCUAUUGGUCCCCCACUUGUAUUGUC